GACGAACGCUGGCGGCGUGCUUAACACAUGCAAGUCGAACGAAAAGCGACGGAAGCUUGCUUCUAUCAAUCUUAUUGGCGACCGGGGGAGUAACGCGUAAUCAACCUGCCCUUCAGAGGGGGACAACAGUUGGAAACGACUGCUAAUACCCCAUACGAUCUAAUCUCGGCAUCGAGGAGGGAUGAAAGGUGGCCUCUACAUGUAAGCUAUCACUGAAGGAGGGGAUUGCGUCUGAUUAGCUAGUUGGAGGGGUAACGGCCCACCAAGGCGAUGAUCAGUAGCCGGUCUGAGAGGAUGAACGGCCACAUUGGGACUGAGACACGGCCCAGACUCCUACGGGAGGCAGCAGUGGGGAAUCUUCCGCAAUGGACGAAAGUCUGACGGAGCAACGCCGCGUGAGUGAUGACGGCCUUCGGGUUGUAAAGCUCUGUUAAUCGGGACGAAAGGCCUUCUUGCGAAUAGUGAGAAGGAUUGACGGUACCGGAAUAGAAAGCCACGGCUAACUACGUG
rnacentral:rRNA from 1 species